rnacentral:lncRNA from 1 species
GCUUCAGUGAGUAGAUGAUCUCAGAUGAUGUGACCCAUUUUGGAAUUGUACCGAGAUGGAAAUGAUUGUACGAUAGAUCGAGUGAUUCGAUCCCUUUUACGGACAUUUCUGGGAAGGGAUCGACGAGAAAAUUGUGUGACAGAUCGAGGUUGAAUAUUUUUGUGAGCUUUGCGAAAGUUUUUGGCACAGUGCCGGAGAAUUGGUUCCAGGAAAGAUCAAGGGUAUCCAAUGCUGUAAAGUUACCGAGAAAAUCUGGGAUCUGUCCCACUAGGGAGUUGUGGCCCACCUCCAAAUAGGCCAAUUUUGGAGAUAAGCUUGAAAUGCUGUUCGGAAUUUUCCCGGAAAACUUAUUGUGAGAAAGUCGGAGAAUCCGGAGGUUAGAGAACGAGGAGAAGAAGUCCGGUAUGCUGCCGGAGAGCCCGUUCCGUUCGAGGCUGAGAAAGGUCAAGUCCUUGAGCCGGCUGAUGCCGGCUGGCACUGUGCCAGUGAGGAGGUUGCCACCGAGUUUGAGCUGAGUCAACCCAGUCAGCUGGGAGAUCGAACUCGGUAUUGGCCCGCUGAACCGGUUACCCUCAAAACUCAGCGCAUUGAGUUGGGUCAAGUUUCCGAUAUCUCGGCGAAGUGGGCCAGAAAGCUGGUUGUUUUCGAUGUAAACGAACAGGAGUUUCGGCAUCCCAAAAAGAAGAGCCGGAAAAGGACCCGUGAUGUUUCGGAGGUUCUGCAGGUAAAUUCCAUCCAAGUUCUGCACUUUCACCAGAGAAGGCGAGAUUGUACCGGACAAAAAGCUAUUCUGUUUACCAGGUUGGCCCGUGAGGGAGAGACUCGUGACCCGGUUUCCAGACAGGCAGGUGAUACCUGGCCAUUUGCAGCAGUCCGUGCCGGACUUCCAGUUUUGAAGCAUGCCGGAGGGGUCAUGGGUGAUGGCCGAUUUGAAGGCGAGGAGACCCAAUUCGUCGUCCACAUGGCAGGCAGCGGAGGCGGCGGUGAGGCACUGGAGGGUGAGGAGAGAGAGGAGAGAGAGGAGGAGGAAAAAGAGAGAGCUUUUCAAAGCUAACAUGGCGGUGGCGGUGGCUUGAAGAGUGGAAGUAGAAAAUGGUAUGAGCUUUCUCACUCUAUGGGUUUUUUAUACAAGAAAAUGGUUUGUCUCCACUCGUUGAAUGAAUCAUUGAAUCCCAUCUAGAAAGAGUGCAACUUGGCGGGUUGGCAUGAUAAGACUCCAAUUCAACCCGAGGUUUAAUUGCUUGCAGUAAAUAUUUUUAAUACUUAAGUCAAGAUUGGGAUAAGCUUUUUUUACCUUUACCCAAUUCAGGCGAGGCAAGAUCUCAACCAUUUUUUAAGUCUCACUCGAUUUAAUAUUUUUAUAAUAUUUAUAAUAUUUAUUAUUUUGUCAGUAGAACUCGAUUUAAUUAUAAUAUUUAUUAUUUUUUAUAAUAAUAUUUAUUUUUAAUUUUUAUUUUAAAUAUCAAAUUAUAAUUAUAUUAUAUAGUUUAGUUUUUUUAAGGAAUAUAUAUGAGAUUAUUUUUAAUUUUUUUAGUUAUUUUGAAAUUUUAUUUUAUUUAUUAUUUAAAUUUUAAUUUAUAUAUAAGUUUUUAAAAACCAUUGUGGAUGACUUUGAGUCAUGCAACCCGCGUCAACUUGAUUAACCCAAGUCUAACAUUAUCAACUCAAGUUUAACCCCACAAAGCCGAAUUUAACUUGAUUAAUGUGAAUUCAAUCCAAAUUUAGAAAAAUGAAGUUAACUUAGGAUUAGGUUGAGUACUUCAGGUUAAAAGUUGGGUUAGGUUCUAGUUAGCCAUCAACCCGAUCAAAUUAUAAUCCUACUAAAAACCAUAUAUGAUUUUAAUGAUACGGUUGUUUUCUUUCUUUCUCCAAUUUGACAUUAAAAUGGUAAUUACCAAUUAUCUAUGCUUAUUUGAGAACGGUUUCCUUUUUAUUCUCAAUAACAAAAAUUAAUUAAUUAAUUAAUUAAAUUUAAAAUUCAUGUUAAGAAAAAGAGUUAUUUUAUAUUUAAAUUUAUAAUAAAAAAUAUCAAAGAAAAUUAAAUAUAAUUAAAAUUAACAAAAACCACUUAAUAUUUGAAAGUUAAAUUUAAAAAAUGCCUUGAUAGUGGUAGUUGUUGUAAUACAUUAUUUAUAUAAAAAAAAUGAUGUUACUAAGAAUUUUAAAAAUGAUUUUAAAGAAAUUAUCAAAUACCUAAUUUCUAUGAAACACUAUUUUUGAGUUCUUCCAAAAUUAAUCUUAAACGGGUUCUAAGAACGAUUUUAAAAAAUAUUAUCAAGUCGGCCUUUAGCUUUUAUUAUUAUUAUUAUUGAUUUUCAGGAAACCAUUUUAAUAUUUUUAAUAAUUUUAUCAACCACAAAUCAUUUUCCACAUUCAUCCUAGGUAUUCAAUAUAUAAGUGCAAUCGUGAGACUCGUAAAUAUAUAUAUAUAUAUAUAUAUAUAUAUUUAAUUAGAAUCCUUAGUCUCAAUUUUUUUAAUAUAGUAUAUUAUUUAUUUAUUUAUUUAUUAUUAAUCUAUUUGUCUUAUGUGGGAGGCAUUUGUGGGUCAUAUUGGGUUAGAUGACAAAUUAAUUUUUGUCAUUUUUAGUAUUAAAAAAAUAAAAUAAAAUUUGGACUUUUCUUAUAGUUGGAAAGUUAUUGUCUGUACACCAUUGAUGCAAAAUGAAUUAUUGAUUUAAAGGGUUGAAGUUAUUAGUUAGUGAUAAAAUCUACUAUUAAUCAUAAAUUUUUGUCUUUAAAUUAUUUUCCAACAUUUAGAAGAAAAAAAAAUUCUUAAUAUUCUCCAAUUUAUAAUUCAAAAAGUAAUUUUGUUUAAAAAGCAAUUUAUAGUUAUUGUUUAAAUUAUUUUCGAAAAUUGUUUUGUAAGAAAAAGUGGUCAAUUGCUUCCCCCGUACUUAUUACUAACCCACCUUCCUCUUCUUUCAUUUCAUCGACCUUUUGCAAGGCGGAAAUGGAGGGCCACACAGGCAGUCGUUGCCCUGGAACGCGCUUGCCGGAAAUUUCGACGGCGGAAUCCGAGCACACAAAUGGUUGUGACUCACAUUCAGCUUCUCCAGCCCCGAUAUCGCCUCAGGCACCUUCCCGAAAACCAUGUUCCGCGACAUAUCUAUGUAGUUCAGCGUCUUCACGAUUCUCGAUUUCGACAUAUUGAAUCGCAGUUGGUUGCCGGGGGUCCAAAACCCUACUAGGUAAUCCGUUUUGUUUAACAGCCGGAUCGGACUACCGAUGAUUUUAUUUUCCGAGAGAUCAAUGUAGUCGUAGAAAUAGGUUUCCAACGGCUUCCAAUCGUCUAAUUUGAAUUUGAGUCCGCAUUUUGCGAGCUUCGGUGAAUAGAUGAUCUCUGACGAUGUGACCCAUUUUGGAAUGGCACCGAGAUGGAAGUGAUUGUACUACAAAUCAAGUGAGUCGAUCCCUUUUACGAACAUUUCCGGGAAGGGAUCGACGAGAGAAUUGUGUGAUAGAUCGAGGUUGAAUAUUUUUGUGAGCUUUGAGAAAGUUUUUGGCACAAUGCCCGAGAACUGGUUCCAGGAAAGAUCGAGGGUGUCCAGUGCUGUAAAGUUUCCGAGAAAAUCUGGGACUUGACCCGCUAGAGAAUUGUGGCCCAGCUCUAAAU